AUUGAACGCUGGCGGCGGGCUUAACACAUGCAAGUCGAGCGGAUGAAGGGAACUGGCACCUGCAGUCAGAGGCGGACGGGUGAGUAAUGCCUAGGAAUAUGCCCGGUAGGGUGGGAUAACGCCCGCAAACGGGUGACAAUACCACAUACGUCCUGAGGCCGAAUGAGGCGGCAGUUCGGACUGCACGCGGUCAGAUAAGCCUAGGUCGGAUUAGCUAGUUGGUGGGGUAAAGGCCUACCAAGGCGACGAUCCGUAACUGGUCUCAGAGGAAGAACAGUCACCCGGGAACUGAGACACGCUCCAGACUCCUAGGCGGAGCAGCAGUGGGGAAUAUUAGACGAUGCGCGAGAGCCUGAUCCAGCCAUGCCGCGUGUGUGCAGAAGGUCUUCGGAUUGUAAAGCGCUUUAAGUUGGGGGUAAGGGCAGUAAGUUCAUCCCUGGAUAUUUUGACGUUACCAGCAGAAUAAGCACCGGCUAACUUCGUG
rnacentral:rRNA from 1 species